ACGAACGCUGGCGGCGUGCUUAACACCUGCAAGUCGAACGGUGAAGCGCCUUCCUUUUUGGUGGGUGUGGAUGAGUGGCGAACGGGUGAGUAACACGUGAGUAACCUGCCCCCUUCUUCUGGAUAACCGCAUGAAAGUGUGGCUAAUACGGGAUAUUCUGGGUCUGUCGCAUGAUGGGUCUGGGAAAGAUAUUGUUUCGGUGGGGGAUGGGCUCGCGGCCUAUCAGCUUGUUGGUGGGGUGAUGGCCUACCAAGGCGGUGACGGGUAGCCGGCCUGAGAGGGUGGACGGGCACACUGGGACUGAGACACGGCCCAGACUCCUACGGGAGGCAGCAGUGGGGAAUAUAGCACAAUGGGCGCAAGCCUGAUGCAGCGACGCCGCGUGAGGGAUGGAGGCCUUCGGGUGGUGAACCUCUUUCGCCAGUGAAGCAGGCCGCCUCGUUUGUGGGUGGGUUGACGGUAGCUGGAGAAGAAGCGCCGGCUAACUACGUG
rnacentral:rRNA from 1 species